rnacentral:rRNA from 1 species
CAACAGCGUAUAUUUAAGUUGUUGCAGUUAAAAAGCUCGUAGUCGGAUUUUGGCUGAGAACGAACGGUCCGCCGUUAGGUGUGCACUGUUUGGUCUCAGCUUCCUGGUGAGGAGGUGUGCUUCACGGCCACUUAGUCACCGUGGUUACUUUGAAAAAAUUAGAGUGUUCAAAGCGGGCUUACGCUUGAAUAUAUUAGCAUGGAAUAACACCAUAGGACUCCUGUCCUAUUUCGUUGGUCUCGGGACGGGAGUAAUGAUUAAGAGGAACAGUUGGGGGCAUUCGUAUUUCAUUGUCAGAGGUGAAAUUCUUGGAUUUAUGAAAGACGAACUUCUGCGAAAGCAUUUGCCAAGGAUGUUUUCAUUGA